rnacentral:tRNA from 16 species
UCGCGGGAUGGAGCAGUCUGGUAGCUCGUCGGGCCCAUAACCCGAAGGUCGUAGGUUCAAAUCCUGCUCCCGCAAU